CUUCCGUAGGUGAACCUGCGGAAGGAUCAUUACCGAGUUUUCGGGCUUCGGCUCGACUCUCCCACCCUUUGUGAACGUACCUCUGUUGCUUUGGCGGCUCCGGCCGCCAAAGGACCUCCAAACUCCAGUCAGUAAACGCAGACGUCUGAUAAACAAGUUAAUAAACUAAAACUUUCAACAACGGAUCUCUUGGUUCUGGCAUCGAUGAAGAACGCAGCGAAAUGCGAUAAGUAAUGUGAAUUGCAGAAUUCAGUGAAUCAUCGAAUCUUUGAACGCACAUUGCGCCCCUUGGUAUUCCGGGGGGCAUGCCUGUUCGAGCGUCAUUACAACCCUCAAGCUCUGCUUGGAAUUGGGCACCGUCCUCACUGCGGACGCGCCUCAAAGACCUCGGCGGUGGCUGUUCAGCCCUCAAGCGUAGUAGAAUACACCUCGCUUUGGAGUGGUUGGCGUCGCCCGCCGGACGAACCUUCUGAACUUUUCUCAAGGUUGACCUCGGAUCAGGUAGGGAUACCCGCUGAACUUAAGCAUAUCAAUAAGCGGAGGAA
rnacentral:rRNA from 1 species